rnacentral:sRNA from 2 species
UGCGCCGUCAUUGGGGAGUAGCCGGUUUUUGAGUCAUCGCACUCAGAAACGCCCGUAUCAACAUACUCGUUUUGCAAUCUGAAACGUGGUGCGGGCAGCCAAAGUGGUUGGCGAGACCAUAGACACGUAGCUCCGUCGUAUGGUUGGGGGUGGGUUACGUGUAUAUGGAGCCGCCCGGCCG